UACGUAGGGGGCAAGCGUUGUCCGGAAUUAUUGGGCGUAAAGAGCGCGUAGGCGGUCCGAUAAGUCGGCUGUGAAAGUCAGGGGCUCAACCCUUGAAAGCCGGCCGAUACUGUCGGACUAGAGUCCGGAAGAGGCAAGUGGAAUUCCCGGUGUAGCGGUGAAAUGCGCAGAUAUCGGGAGGAACACCAAUGGCGAAGGCAGCUUGCUGGGACGGUACUGACGCUGAGGCGCGAAAGCGCGGGGAGCAAACAGG
rnacentral:rRNA from 1 species